rnacentral:rRNA from 1 species
AUUGAACGCUGGCGGCAUGCCUUACACAUGCAAGUCGAACGGCAGCAUGAUCUAGCUUGCUAGAUUGAUGGCGAGUGGCGAACGGGUGAGUAAUACAUCGGAACGUGCCCUGUAGUGGGGGAUAACUAGUCGAAAGAUUAGCUAAUACCGCAUACGACCUGAGGGUGAAAGUGGGGGACCGCAAGGCCUCAUGCUAUAGGAGCGGCCGAUGUUUGAUUAGCUAGUUGGUGGGGUAAAGGCCCCCCAAGGCGACGAUCAGUAGCUGGUUUGAGAGGACGAUCAGCCACACUGGGACUGAGACACGGCCCCGACUCCUACGGGAGGCAGCAGUGGGGAAUUUUGGACAAUGGGGGCAACCCUGAUCCAGCAAUGCCGCGUGUGUGAAGAAGGCCUUCGGGUUGUAAAGCACUUUUGUCCGGAAAGAAAUCGCACUUACUAAUAUUAGGUGUGGAUGACGGUACCGGAAGAAUAAGGACCGGCUAACUACGUG